CUCGGGGCCGAGCGACAGACACCCGGGAGCCGCGGAGCCUGAAAUCUUUUCCCUUGUUUUUUUCACCGACUCUAAUGCUGGUGAUCAUUUGGUGGCAGUGGUCUGGCUGGUGACUCAUCCCAACCUCAGGCGUUUUACAAAUGGGCAGCAUGUCUCAGGUGAAGGGAGAUAGCGUUCAGAAGAAGAGGUAUCCCUGUGAGUGAAAUGAUUUGAAUCCCCAGGUGUCGCGGACGCUGCUGGUCCGGGAAUCCCACUGCAAGAGCCACUCUGCGAGACCACCGAAGACCGAUGAGGGCUCUUCUGGAGCUCACACCUGGCCCAGGGAGAGAGCUAGCAAGGCCUCCGUCUGCUCCCGCUCCAGAUCCGAAGAGAAUCAGAGCCGAGACUGGAUAUCAGACAACUCCACGGAGUGUCCUGGCCGCUGUGCUUUCAAGGGAGAAAGUCAGCUACCGAUACUGUGCUAGGAGGUGGGAGGGGUCAAGAGGCAGCAUCUCAGCACGUGGGGGUUCUUCCCUUUUCGCUUCUUUCAACCCUGAUGACCCACAGGAGCCACUUACAGUUUAGUGCUUGGAAGUCCUCACUACCUUGCUAAAACUCCCUAUUCUCCCUUCUUAACAAAAUGAGAUCUGGCCUCAGCUCAAGGUCUUGCCUGCUAGAAUUGGGAAUGUUUUGGUUUUAUUUGUAUUUCUUUAUGUUUUCUUACCUUCUAUUUAUGACAGGGGAUACUGGUUUUCUAGUAAAUCAUGAUAUAUAGUUUGUUUUUUUGGUUGUUUUUAUUAUUUUGUUUAAGUAAACUCUACACCCAAUGUGGGACUUGAACUCAUGACCCCGAGAUCAAGAGUGACAUGCUCUACUGACUGAGCCAGCCAGGAGCCUAGUUUGCUUUUUUUUUUUUUUUUCCCCAAAGAUUUUAUUUAUUUAUUUAUUUGACAGAGAGAGAGAAAGAGCACAAACAAGGGUAGCAGGAAAGGGAGAAGCAGACUCCCCACUGAGCCCGGAGCCUGAUACAGGGCUCGAUCCAGUAACUCCGGGAUCAUGACCUGAGCCAAAGGCAGUUGCUUAGCCAACGCAGCCACCCAGGUGCCCCUACAGUUUGUUUUUUAAAGUAAAUGUAAGUAAACCUACUGAGUUAAAGCAUAGUAAAUUUAAAAAUACUUUGGUACUUGCAUAUGGCAAAUAGCAUUCAAGUUUACUAUUUUCAAGGCAGGUAAACUGACAUCCAGCAGGAGUCCCCAGAUCCUACAAUGAGUGUCUGGGAUAUUUAAGAAUACAGGCAUCUACGUGCCCUGAGAACCACAGUGUUCUACUUGGAGGUCAAGGGCUAGGAAAGGCCCCCUUUUAACUUUAGGCCCCAUUAACUCUCCUCUUAUGGCUGUUUUCAUAUUAGCCCAUAAAAGUGAGAACUUUUGAAGUUAUUCAUUGUUCCCUUUAAAUUCAGGGCACAAACUGGGCCAUUUUCAGAGGCAAAGGGCUUCAUCCCUGGAGCUAGCAAUAACUGGUAAAAAGGAGAGGAAGGGGUAAAAAUAGAAGUGGAGAGAAAUGUAAGUAGGAAGUAGAAGACCCA
ensembl:lncRNA